GCUUAUCGAAAUUUUAGGUCAGGCUUAUAUUUGGUUUUCUCGAUGUGGGUUGGAGUCACCUUAUGAACGGGUUGGAUGACACCUCCCAGUUCCAAUGUCAGGAAUCCCCCAUCCAUACCUUUCACUGUGGUGUGGCCCACUUGAACUUUGGAUUGACCUGAUUUUUUGGCGUAUGUACUGUAAAAUGAUGGAUUAAGUGGAUGUCACACACACCUUCUUUUUUCUCUCUUUUUGGGUUAUGCUCUGUUUCAGCAAUUUGGACAGUCUGGAUUGCGGGACAAUUAUGCCAUGUGUAUGAUUGAAUAGGAGUGGCAAUGGCUGUGGCCCAGUCGUGUAUGGACAGGGCUUGGUCCCCUUGGCCUGAGGCCGCCCCAGCUUGAAAAGGGUAUAGCCAAAUUUAAACUCUUUGAUCAUCUGAGCAAUGAAACGGUAGAAAUCUUUAAAUAUGGAAGAUUCUCCAAGUUCCUAAAUGUAGGGUGAGGCGAAUCACAUCGACUAUUUGGAUAAAUGAAAAGGACCCGUCUAAUUGUUGGAUCCGAUUCUUAAGUCGGGUGUUGUGAUUGCAUGCCAAAUCGAGCUUAUGUAUUUAUCAGGUCGAUUCAUGUAUUUGGAACUUGCUUGGAUGACUUUUUAUGUAUAAAAAUUUCCACUCCUUCAAUCUAGUAUGCCUGCUAAGGGCCCAUUUGGGUACCA